CGCCUUUUGCUUUUGGUCUACUAUUUUCUAAUUCAAUCUCUAUUUCAUCCUGAUAGCUUGAUAUUUCACCUUCAAAAUCUUCCAGCUUUUUUGAUAACGCCUUCUCAAGCUGCUGUAUCUUCAGUUUUUUUUGGCCAGCUGUGAAUGAAGGGGGAUCACAUUCUUCUUCCAAGUCAAUCCUCAUAAACUCAUCUAUGGUUAGCUGACUUGUUGGAGUAUAUUCAAACUCUGUCAACCUUUUCCUUAGCGUAGACUCACAAACCUUGACCACCC
rnacentral:lncRNA from 1 species